CCCUGUCAAACUUUAAUAAUCGUAAAAUGUCAAAACAACGUUAUUUUUAUUUUGCAAUUAUUUUCAGUUGGGGCAACUGGGAAGGAAAAAAACUUCUUUGUAAUAUUUAACAUAUAGGUUUAUUGAGCCAAUAAUAUUGAAGUAAAAAUAAGUUACCCCA
rnacentral:rRNA from 1 species